UCGGGAACGGAUGUUGCAAGCUAGUGGCGGACGGGUGAGUAACGCGUGAGCAACCUGCCUUUCAGAGGGGGAUAACGACAACGAAAGCUGUGCUAAUACCGCAUGACAUUGCGACACCGCAUGGUGAUGCAAUCAAAGGAGCAAUCCGCUGAAAGAUGGGCUCGCGUCCGAUUAGAUAGUUGGCGGGGUAAGGCCCACCAAGUCGACGAUCGGUAGCCGGACUGAGAGGUUGGCCGGCCACAUUGGGACUGAGACACGGCCCAGACUCCUACGGGAGGCAGCAGUGGGGGAUAUUGCACAAUGGGCGAAAGCCCUGAUGCAGCGACGCCGCGUGAGGGAAGAAGGUCUUCGGAUUGUAAACCUUUGUCCUAUGGGAAGAUAAUGACGGUACCAUGGGAGGAAGCCACGGCUAACUACGUGCCAGCCGCCGC
rnacentral:rRNA from 1 species